UUUGUCCAACUAUAAAAGGUCAAGCCUGCCCAGUGACAUUGUUCAACGGCCGCGGUAUUCUAACCGUGCGAAGGUAGCGUAAUCACUUGUUUUUUAAAUGAGGACUAGUAUGAAUGGCUUCACGAAGGCUAUACUGUCUCCCUUAUCCAAUCAGUUAAACUAAUCUUCCCGUGAAGAAGCGGGAAUAAACCUAUAAGACGAGAAGACCCUAUGGAGCUUUAAACACUUUUAAACAUUUGACAUUUAACAUUUCAACUUUCAGAAAACUUUACUAAACCAAUCGAUUUGUUUUAAGUUUUAGGUUGGGGUGACCACGGAGAACAACAAAACCUCCACGUAGAAAGAACCUUUCUCUAAGCAAAAAGCCACAUCUUUACGCAUCAAUAAUACUGACCUUAAUUGACCCAAUUCUUUGAUCAACGAAC
rnacentral:rRNA from 1 species